rnacentral:rRNA from 1 species
AGUGAACGCUGGCGGUAGGCCUAACACAUGCAAGUCGAACGGCAGCACAGUAAGAUCUUGCUCUUACGGGUGGCGAGUGGCGGACGGGUGAGGAAUACAUCGGAAUCUACUUUUUCGUGGGGGAUUACGUAGGGAAACUUACGCUAAUACCUCAUACGACCUACGGGAUAAAGCAGGGGAUCUUCGGACCUUGCGCGAUUGUAUGAGCCGAUGUCGGAUUAGCUAGUUGGCUGGGUAAAGGCCCACCAAGGCGACGAUCCGUAGCUGGUCUGAGAGGGUGAUCGGCCACACUGGAACUGAGACACGGUCCAGACUCCUACGGGAGGCAGCAGUGGGGAAUAUUGCGCAAUGGGCGAAAGCCUGAUCCAGCCAUGCCGCGUGGGUGAAGAAGGCCUUCGGGUUGUAAAGCCCUGUUGUUGGGAAAGAAAAACUGCAGGUGAAUAUCCCGCCGUUCUGACGGUACCCAAAGAAUAAGCACCGGCUAACUUCGUG